rnacentral:tRNA from 1 species
CGCGGGGUGGAGCAGUGGUAGCUCGCAAGGCUCAUAACCUUGAGGUCGGUGGUUCGAGUCCACCCCCCGCAACCA